rnacentral:rRNA from 1 species
UGCUUGCACCUUUUGGUUAGCGGCGGACGGGUGAGUAACACGUGGGCAACCUGCCUGUAAGACUGGGAUAACUUCGGGAAACCGGAGCUAAUACCGGAUAAUCCUUUUCCUCUCAUGAGGAAAAGCUGAAAGUCGGUUUCGGCUGACACUUACAGAUGGGCCCGCGGCGCAUUAGCUAGUUGGUGAGGUAAUGGCUCACCAAGGCGACGAUGCGUAGCCGACCUGAGAGGGUGAUCGGCCACACUGGGACUGAGACACGGCCCAGACUCCUACGGGAGGCAGCAGUAGGGAAUCUUCCGCAAUGGACGAAAGUCUGACGGAGCAACGCCGCGUGAGCGAUGAAGGCCUUCGGGUCGUAAAGCUCUGUUGUUAGGGAAGAACAAGUACCGGAGUAACUGCCGGUACCUUGACGGUACCUAACCAGAAAGCCACGGCUAACUACGUGCCAGCAGCCGCGGUAAUACGUAGGUGGCAAGCGUUGUCCGGAAUUAUUGGGCGUAAAGCGCGCGCAGGCGGUCCUUUAAGUCUGAUGUGAAAGCCCACGGCUCACCCGUGGAGGGUCAUUGGAAACUGGGGGACUUGAGUACAGAAGAGGAAAGCGGAAUUCCACGUGUAGCGGUGAAAUGCGUAAAGAUGUGGAGGAACACCAG